rnacentral:rRNA from 1 species
UACGUAGGGUGCGAGCGUUGUCCGGAAUUAUUGGGCGUAAAGGGCUCGUAGGCGGUCUGUUACGUCGGGAGUGAAAACCUUGGGCUUAACUCAGGGCUUGCUUUCGAUACGGGCAGACUAGAGGUAUGCAGGGGAGAACGGAAUUCCUGGUGUAGCGGUGAAAUGCGCAGAUAUCAGGAGGAACACCGGUGGCGAAGGCGGUUCUCUGGGCAUGAUCUGACGCUGAGGAGCGAAAGUGUGGGGAGCGAACAGG